rnacentral:lncRNA from 1 species
AGCUGUAGAUAAAUUAUUUUUAUUCAUUAAUAAUUGAUCAUCUUUUUAUUGAGAUUGUUUACUUAGUACAUUAUAGAUGGAAAAAGCUCCUUAUGUAUGGAGCAAGUAGAAAGAGUGAGAGACAUGCAUAGAGAUGAUCUUGAGGGGAAAAAGUGUUUCAUGCAUCAGAAAGCCUCUUCUUCUGACUCUGGGAAGAUAGGCUUGAGCGGAGGAAAUCUUGUUUCGCAGAAUUCUUGACAGUCCCGUUAAUGAAUCUCUGGUACCAUUUGCCAGAUUCUUUGAGGUUUCUGUCGUCGAGAUCUUAAUAUGAGAAUGGGGAAGCAUUCAUAAAACAUAAAUUACUGAGGUUUAGCUUCUUUUGGUUUUCUUGAUUAUAUAAGAACCAAAAUAAAAUAAAAUCAUUUGAAUGAUAGGAAAAUCAUAUGUAAAAUACUAUUAAAUUUUAGUUGAGGAUGAUAGAACUUUGGUGUAGCUAGAUUUGAGUUUGUAUAAGGUUUGGUCAUUGUUUAUUAUGUUGAAAAUCUAUUCUAGUAUAUAAAGUUGAACUUAUUAAGUUAAUUUAAGCUGAUCGGUUUGAUGUUUAUAUAUUUAUUACACAAAACUAGUUUGGGGUAAUUAUUUAUUUAUUUUCUAUGUGUGUCUAAGUGACGUUUUUGGUUUAAAUUGUGUUAUUUCACUCUCUCUCUCGAUCAUCUUGACAAAAUGUAGGUGUAGACAAUUUUUUAAUUCAUUAGUAACUGAUCAUCUUUUUAUUGAGAAUAUUUAUUUAGUACAUUAUUAUAGGUAGAAGAAGCUCCUUAUCUUUGGAGCAACUAGAAAGAGUGAGAGACAUGGAGAUGAUCUUGACCGGGGGAAAAAGUGUUCAUGCAUCAGCGAACCUCUUCUUCUGACUCUGGGAAGAGAGGCUUGAGCGGAGGAAAUCUUGUUUCACAGCGUUCUUGACGGUCCCGUUGAUGAAUCUCUGGUACCAUUUGCCAGAUUCUUUGAGGUUUCUAUCGUCAAGAUCUUCCCAAUUAACGUAACUGAGUCCAAAUCUGACGGUAAAGCCUUUACAGAAUUCAUAAUUGUCUCCAAGAGCCCAUGCGAAGUAUCCUCUCACGUUGACACCCUUCUC